GAGUCCCCUAAAGACAGCCAGCCUCCACCCCAACUCCUGCUCCUCUAAGAAUACAGAUAAGACCAAGCCUGCAGAUGCACAGGAACAGUUUGUAUUGUUCCCUGGGUGUUAAACAUUAGCUAGGCUCCUGCUGGUCCUCAGGUCCUCUUAUUCCUUAAGCUCUAAAACUGGGCACCAGGGCAGCUCUGCUCCCUAACCCCACCCUGGGCUCACCUUCCUGACCUCUCGUCAAAGGUGUGGGGGGGUUCCUCUUUCCCUGUUGUGUUCUCCUGGACUAUCCCAGGUCAUCUCUCUCCUCCCUUCUCCCACAGGCAGACUGUCCAAAGGUUCUGUGCCUAGGCGCCCCUGCUGGGGUCAUAACCACUCCUAGUUAACUAAGGGCAUGGACUUCCUCCUGACUCAACACAGGACACUGACUCACCUGGUGGGAGGUCUUCCAGGCAACCAGACCCUCUUUAAACUCCAGCAUGACAAACCUCUGAUACCCGGCUUCCUCAGCCCAGGACUCGAGGCAGCCCCUCCCUAGAGUUUCUUACUCGCACCCCUUGGGUUUCCGUUCACCCCUCACCAGAGGACCCAGAGGUACAUCACCAAGGACCAAGGAUUUCUGUCCACAUAGGAGGUACCAGAGCUAAGACACAGCUCUGCCAGCCGUAGCCACUCAUGCUGGUCCAUCACCUGCCAUCUCCCGAGGCUCCUGUAAUAGGAGGUCUUUGAAGGGCCUCCAGUGGCUCUGUCCAUUCUUGCCUGUUCUGACCCACUCCUGCGAAGGAAUUUCCGUUUCUCUGCCCUCUUGGCAUCCAGUCCAUUUUCUAUCCCACGGGUUCUGCAAACCUUCCCAGCGCCUCUGCGCAACCCCAUUCCCACCGCUUGCUACUUGUGAGCUCGUCCUCAAGCCUCAGUUUUCCCGUGCAGAUCAGCCUUGCACAGCUGGAUAAAGGAGAAGGGGUACAGUGUGUCACGGGGGGCCUUGUUCGGACGGAGGGUGGAUGCUGGGGUUGGCGAGGAUGGUGACGGUGGUGACGAUGGUGGUCGCGAGGGAGCCGGAGUGGCACUGGUGGUGAUGAUGGAUAAUUGUGGAUGACGGUGAUGAUGGCGGCGUUGGUGACGGUGAUAGCGAGGAUAACGGCGGCGAGGACAGUGAUGGAGGUGGUGAUCACACUGAUGCCGAUGACAACAGAGGCGGAAGUAGUGGUGAUGGUGAUGGCAAUGCUGGCCAUGGCAGUGAUGGUGACGAUGGUGAACCUGUACCUCAUGACUAUUGAUCAGUCUGGAAGGUCUUCCCUUCCCUCCCCCCGUGACAUGGACACACACACACACACACACACACACACACACACACACACCCCUACAUUACACGUGGAACCAGCAUAGGGGCGACCACUCACACAUGUUUUCUUCUGGGUCCUACGCCUGGCUCUCCUGGGGUGUGUAGCGGCACAGAACUAGAAGGAGGUGACAAUGGGAAGGCUGAAAACAAAGAAAGGAGGCGGCGGAAAAGGAGAAGAGGAGGGGGAUGAAGAAGGAGAGAAAUGGAGAAGCAGACAGGAAGGGAAUAAGGAUGUACGGAGGAAGGGGGAGGGAAGGGGAGGCCCCUCAUUUCCUAUUUACUUACGGCGUGCCAGGCACAGACUUGCAGCGCUUCUCAUAGAAGACACAUUUACAUAUGUGGACUUAUCUACACACACGUGCAUGCACACACACACACACACACACACACACACACAUUCAUUUAAUUUAAUUUAAUAAACAGGUCUGUUUAUGCCUCAGAGAACUCCAGUGAGUGGACAGCCACCAAAACUGAACUAACUGGGCAAAGUCGCCUAAGAUAACAGUCGAGUGGAAAUCAGCCACUACCAGCAGAGACCCGACUGUCAGCCCUUGCUGUGGGAUGAUGGCACCUGAGUCCCUGGAGGUCUCUCUGGUAGCUGUAGGAAGUGGCUGGUGCGCAAGGCCGACUUCCCUCUUAGGUGUCUCCAAGGGUUCUCACAGGCACACCCAGAGAUGAACUCUACUCCCAACCCAUGGAGCACUCAGGAGUAACCAUCACCAGGUUUGCCUAGGCCUGCCCACUUCUCUCCGAAGUAUAAGAAACCUCUACAGAGGUGUUCUCAGGUGCCUGCUUCGUCAGGGUGUCUGGUCCCUUCUCCAUUGGACCCACUCAUCCGACCUUCCUUGUCUACUCCAAGCUUUCCUAAUUUCAUCUGGGGAUUUCCACAGUGGCAUCCUGCCUGGCCACACAUCCCUCAGCUGGCUGAAGCUCACCUACGAUGUUGGUAGUUAGCCUAAUUUUUCUAUGGCACGCUGCUAUCCUAUUAUUUAAGAAUGUGACUGUGGGGCUGGAGAGAUGGCUCAGUGGCUGAAAGCACUGGCUGCUCUUCCAAAGGUCCUGAGUUCAGUUCCCAGCCCCCACAUGGUGGCUCACAACCAUC